CCUAAGGGAGAGUAGGUCCCUUUUGAGGUGAAUUUAGAAGAGGUUCCCCCCCCCCCCAUCUUCUUUAGGCGUGAUAAUGAACCGCGAAGCAUCCUCAGUGGAGACCUGGAAUUCCAUAGCUUGUGGGAAGAGCUUAAGACCUUGUGCGGUUCCAAGGUUGAGGCCUUGGCCGAUGGGCUUUCGGUGCGGGGGAAUGGAGAGGAGCCCCGGGUUCUUGGUGUCGGCGCCCCGCACCUGUGCGCCCCCCGCUGAGCCCGAGGCCGGCCGCCUUUGUUUCUGCCAGGCCGCUCCGCACUUAGCAGCCUGGCGCCCUGCUUGGGCGGCAGCUGGGAACCAGGCAGCUCAGCGGGCCGGGAGCCUGGCAUUUCCCGAGCUGUGGCAGCCACUUGAAACCGCGGCCUCUAUCCCCAGAACUCGCCGAGCUUCCAAGGCAGACGCUGGACCAGGCCUCACGCCGGAGUCGCGGUGCUGCCGCAGCCGCUGCCAGUUCGCUUCUGCCAGAACUCCACGCAGAGACCCGUGUCCAGCCAAAGAACCCCCUUUGACACGGAUCGUAAUCAGAAUAAAAACUUUAUUUUUUUUGUUUUGUUUCUCAGAAUGUGAGCAGCAAGGAAUGUAAAACUCUCAAAACAAAUCUAGCAUUUUUAGCGUUCAGUUUGGCCAGAUGUUACAAACCUAAACCACUAUUUUCAAACUCUGGGUCCUCUCUGUUCUUAUUGCAUUGCUACGGUUUUUAUAAAGGAAUUUUAUUUCCCUUUCAAAUAAAUUUUAUAUGUAUGCCAAUACACCAUUGAACAAAAGGCUCAAGAAACCUUCUGAACAAUCAGGGUACAGAAUUUCUUUAAUAUAAAUACGAACGGAUGGGGAUAAAUAAUAUUUAAAACUUAGACUAUUCAAUGCUUGCAAAAAAUAUAAAUAAAUCUGACUGUUCACCAGCACACACACACGGAAAGACGUACACGUAGUCAUCUUUGCACAGGGAGUCCCUGUUUCAAAGCGCCUUUGAUUUCUUUUUCUCGAUCAGUACAAGAAGUGCAAUUUUAAAAACUAAAACUU
ensembl:processed_transcript Hoxaas2 Hoxa cluster antisense RNA 2